UGGGCAGGGGGCGAGGGGCGGCUCCCAGGCGCAAGUCCCGGCUGUUAAUACGUGGGCGUCCGGUAUUAGGUGCUGGAGAUCCGCUGGCGGUUGCCUCACUCUUCCUGAGCUCACAGGAGACGCAACCUCUGAGUAGGCGUGGAAACUUGGGCAGUGGACGGAAUCUCUCUGUGCUUUAGUUUUCCCGUCUGUAAAAUGGGGCUAACAAUGGAACCUAUUUCCCAGGUGGUAGUGAGAUUCAAGGCAGUCUGUGUAAGGUACAGAGCAAAUGUGAGGCGCAGUAACACGUGUUCCGGAUGUGCAGCCCCUCUGUGACCAGUCUCCUGUUAGGGCACCAGAGACGCAGCACAAGGGUUGAGCUGAUGGUUGGGCCAAACUCCUCCCCUCACUGGUGAGGAGCCUGAGGUCUGGCCUUCACUCGUCUUGUGGAGGAAGAAAAGGAACUUUGUUCAGCCAAGUUGGACACCUGGUCCUUUCAACCGGAAGCAACCCUCCUCCACAGCCAGCCCAGAAGGUUUGAUGGGCUGAUCCACACCCAUGACUUCAGGACUUAAUGUGUAACCUGGACUGUGCCAGUCAGAGCAGCAAGACCCUCUGGCCUCAGCAUCUGGCUUAGAGCAUCAUAUGACCCUCAACAAGCUGUAACACUGCAUGUUUACAAACCACUGCCAAUGGAAUAUGGGCGGAAGUAGUGAAUGCUGAGAGUUCCCUGGUGGUCUAAGAGGUUUAGGACUUGGCAUUUUUGGCACUGAGGCCAGGGUUCAAUCCCUGAUCUAGCAACUGAGAUGCCACAUUGAGUCGCUGUGUGCUAUGGCUGAAAAAGGAAAAAAGAAGUGGAGGAUGACACUUUUAGGCUUGCAGCCUAACAGGUGGGAUUGUUGGAGACCAUGGAACAGCUGAGCUCUGCAGAAGGCAAAUAUCUAUGGACACAGUGUUCUAAAGUACAGAGUCUCCUUUAGAGACAUGAUAAAAGGACUUAUGUAUUAACCAUGUUAUUCUGUACACAGCUGCACUAUAUCUUAAGGAUACCCCCUUUGAUAUCACUAAGAAGAUAACUUUGUUAUAUUGCCUAUGCCUGUUCCUGCCCACUAAUCUCGUCACCUUCCCUACAGGUGUCAUCACCUUCCUUAAUAAAAGUCAUGUGGGCUAAAGCCUAGGUGCCUUAGUUCUGCAGAAUAGAGUGCCUCCUGGUCCCCCACUUUCUAAAUGUAA